GGAGUUAGCCGGUGCUUCUUCUGUGAGUGAUGUCCUUCCUGCCGGCUAUUAACCCGCAGGCCUUCUUCCUCACUGAAAGUGCUUUACAACCCGAAGGCCUUCUUCACACACGCGGCAUGGCUGGAUCAGGGUUGCCCCCAUUGUCCAAUAUUCCCCACUGCUGCCUCCCGUAGGAGUCUGGGCCGUGUCUCAGUCCCAGUGUGGCUGAUCAUCCUCUCAGACCAGCUACGGAUCGUCGCCUUGGUGAGCCGUUACCUCACCAACCAGCUAAUCCGACAUAGGCUCAUCCGAUAGCGCGAGGCCCGAAGGUCCCCCGCUUUCCCCCGUAGGGCGUAUGCGGUAUUAGCCUGGGUUUCCCCAGGUUAUCCCCCACUACCGGGCAGAUUCCUAUGCAUUACUCACCCGUCCGCCGCUCGCCACCAGGGAGCAAGCUCCCCGUGCUGCCGCUCGACUUGCAUGUGUAGCUGCCGCCAGCGUCAUCUGAGCCAGAAUACAACUACUGA
rnacentral:rRNA from 1 species